rnacentral:rRNA from 1 species
GGGGUCAUCCCGACUUACCAACCCGAUGCAAACUACGAAUACCGAAGAAUGUUAUCACGGGAGACACACGGCGGGUGCUAACGUCCGUCGUGAAGAGGGAAACAACCCAGACCGCCAGCUAAGGUCCCAAAGUCAUGGUUAAGUGGGAAACGAUGUGGGAAGGCACAGACAGCCAGGAUGUUGGCUUAGAAGCAGCCAUCAUUUAAAGAAAGCGUAAUAGCUCACUGGUCGAGUCGGCCUGCGCGGAAGAUGUAACGGGGCUAAA